rnacentral:rRNA from 1 species
AGAGUUUGAUCCUGGCUCAGAUUGAACGCUGGCGGCAGGCCUAACACAUGCAAGUCGAACGGUAACAGGAAGCAGCUUGCUGUUUCGCUGACGAGUGGCGGACGGGUGAGUAAUGUCUGGGAAACUGCCUGAUGGAGGGGGAUAACUACUGGAAACGGUAGCUAAUACCGCAUAACGUCGCAAGACCAAAGAGGGGGACCUUCGGGCCUCUUGCCAUCGGAUGUGCCCAGAUGGGAUUAGCUAGUAGGUGGGGUAACGGCUCACCUAGGCGACGAUCCCUAGCUGGUCUGAGAGGAUGACCAGCCACACUGGAACUGAGACACGGUCCAGACUCCUACGGGAGGCAGCAGUGGGGAAUAUUGCACAAUGGGCGCAAGCCUGAUGCAGCCAUGCCGCGUGUAUGAAGAAGGCCUUCGGGUUGUAAAGUACUUUCAGCGGGGAGGAAGGGAGUAAAGUUAAUACCUUUGCUCAUUGACGUUACCCGCAGAAGAAGCACCGGCUAACUCCGUGCCAGCAGCCGCGGUAAUACGGAGGGUGCAAGCGUUAAUCGGAAUUACUGGGCGUAAAGCGCACGCAGGCGGUUUGUUAAGUCAGAUGUGAAAUCCCCGGGCUCAACCUGGGAACUGCAUCUGAUACUGGCAAGCUUGAGUCUCGUAGAGGGGGGUAGAAUUCCAGGUGUAGCGGUGAAAUGCGUAGAGAUCUGGAGGAAUACCGGUGGCGAAGGCGGCCCCCUGGACGAAGACUGACGCUCAGGUGCGAAAGCGUGGGGAGCAAACAGGAUUAGAUACCCUGGUAGUCCACGCCGUAAACGAUGUCGACUUGGAGGUUGUGCCCUUGAGGCGUGGCUUCCGGAGCUAACGCGUUAAGUCGACCGCCUGGGGAGUACGGCCGCAAGGUUAAAACUCAAAUGAAUUGACGGGGGCCCGCACAAGCGGUGGAGCAUGUGGUUUAAUUCGAUGCAACGCGAAGAACCUUACCUGGUCUUGACAUCCACAGAACUUUCCAGAGAUGGAUUGGUGCCUUCGGGAACUGUGAGACAGGUGCUGCAUGGCUGUCGUCAGCUCGUGUUGUGAAAUGUUGGGUUAAGUCCCGCAACGAGCGCAACCCUUAUCCUUUGUUGCCAGCGGUCCGGCCGGGAACUCAAAGGAGACUGCCAGUGAUAAACUGGAGGAAGGUGGGGAUGACGUCAGGUCAUCAUGGCCCUUACGACCAGGGCUACACACGUGCUACAAUGGCGCAUACAAAGAGAAGCGACCUCGCGAGAGCAAGCGGACCUCAUAAAGUGCGUCGUAGUCCGGAUUGGAGUCUGCAACUCGACUCCAUGAAGUCGGAAUCGCUAGUAAUCGUGGAUCAGAAUGCCACGGUGAAUACGUUCCCGGGCCUUGUACACACCGCCCGUCACACCAUGGGAGUGGGUUGCAAAAGAAGUAGGUAGCUUAACCUUCGGGAGGGCGCUUACCACUUUGUGAUUCAUGACUGGGGUGAAGUCGUAACAAGGUAACC